AGCAGCCGCGGUAAUUCCAGCUCCAAUAGCGUAUAUUAAAGUUGUUGCAGUUAAAAAGCUCGUAGUUGAAUUUCGGGAUCAAUACGUCGGUCGUGCUUCGGUACGUACUGGCGUCAUUGAUUUCUCCCUUCUGACGAACCAUGAUGUCAUUAACUUGGUGUCAUGGGAAAUCAGGACUGUUACUUUGAAAAAUUAGAGUGUUUAAAGCAGGCUCACGCUUGAAUACAUUAGCAUGGAAUAAUGAAAUAGGACGUUCGAUCCUAUUUUGUUGGUUUUAGGAUCAACGUAAUGAUUAAUAGGGAUAGUUGGGGGCAUUAGUAUUCAAUUGUCAGGGGUGAAAUUCUUGGAUUUAUUGAAGACUAACUACUGCGAAAGCAUUUGCCAAGGAUGUUUUCAUUAAUCAAGAACGAAAGUUAGGGGAUCGAAGACGAUCAGAUACCGUCGUAGUCU
rnacentral:rRNA from 1 species